UACGGAGGGUGCGAGCGUUGUUCGGAAUUACUGGGCGUAAAGCGCGUGCAGGCGGUCGAGCAAGUCAGAUGUGAAAGCCUCUCGCUCAACGAGAGAAGUGCAUUUGAAACUACUCGGCUGGAGUUCGGGAGAGGAGAGUGGAAUUCCUGGUGUAGAGGUGAAAUUCGUAGAUAUCAGGAGGAACACCGGUGGCGAAGGCGGCUCUCUGGCCCGAUACUGACGCUGAGACGCGAAAGCGUGGGGAGCAAAC
rnacentral:rRNA from 1 species